GCGCCUCUGCGUUGAGCGAAUGGCAUAAAUGUUGCCUGAGCCGAUACUUGUCGAAUGGGAGCUUACCUAUCUUGGCUGUUGUGCGUCCCUUUUUGGGAUACCUGAUGCCCAGUUGCGGCACCCACCUCUUGUUAGAGGGUUCGUCGACUGUUUGCCACCACGCCAACGCGGAGGUUCC
rnacentral:other from 1 species